UACGUAGGGGGCGAGCGUUGUCCGGAUUUACUGGGCGUAAAGAGCGCGUAGGCGGUUUGGCAAGUUGGCUGUGAAAUCCUCGGGCUUAACUCGGGGUGGUCGGCCGAGACUGCUGGACUUGAGGGUGGUAGAGGAAGGUGGAAUUCCGGGUGUAGUGGUGAAAUGCUUAGAGAUCCGGAGGAACACCAGUGGCGAAGGCGGCCUUCCGGGCCACACCUGACGCUGAGGCGCGAAAGCGUGGGUAGCGAACUGA
rnacentral:rRNA from 1 species